UCCGUAGGGUGCAAGCGUUAAUCGGAAUUACUGGGCGUAAAGCGUGCGCAGGCGGUGAUGUAAGACAGAUGUGAAAUCCCCGGGCUUAACCUGGGAACUGCAUUUGUGACUGCAUCGCUGGAGUGCGGCAGAGGGGGAUGGAAUUCCGCGUGUAGCAGUGAAAUGCGUAGAUAUGCGGAGGAACACCGAUGGCGAAGGCAAUCCCCUGGGCCUGCACUGACGCUCAUGCACGAAAGCGUGGGGAGCAAACAGG
rnacentral:rRNA from 1 species